GUCCGCGUUUUCCGGGUCCAGUCCGUGUUUUACAACAUGCCGUCUCAGACAUUAAUGUCGUCUAGUGCAAAGACGUCUGAAACAGGACGACAAACCAGUAGCUGAAAUAUCAGCUGAACUAAAAAAAUCGAUUUCAUUCCGCUGAGUCAGCUCUUCGUUGUUUUUAAUAACACUGUCUGUUGCGCGUGGUUACGCCGACUCGUUUUUGUACUAGACGAUUAAUUUUAACGUCUGAGACGAUAUCGUCUAUAAGAGCAUAGAGAUUAGAAAAGAAUAGAGUGGACAUUGCAGGAAACGUUCAUGCAAAUGAAAGGGACAAAUUGAAGAUUGCAAAUUAAAUGGAGGCCGGCAAAUUUGAGUCAUACCCGGAUGUAACUGGCCAAGAAAAUAUCUUUUUCACCUUAAUUUUGGCUACAAUUCAAAACCAUUCAAGAAUUCAAUGUUCGUUUUAUCAAAAGUUUUGACUGUUUCACAUAACAUUUCUACCGUUCCCAACCUUGUUUUGUAUUAAAGUCCAGGUAUUCUUGUUGAUUUUGAACUUUUAGACCUACAUGAUGUUUUCAAGUUGUAUUGCGGGAAAACCGGAAAAAUCGAAGGACAGAUACCUUUUUAUAAGUCAUUCUCGCGUUCCGAGCGUGGAAUAUUCUUGGAUUGUUUACGCAAGUUGUGAAAGAGUUUUUUUUAUAGAAGAGGCCAGUUUUUAAAAAAAUCAGUUCACGUAGAAAGAAAAAACAUGGUAG